rnacentral:rRNA from 1 species
UCGAAGAACGAGACACCAUACAAAUUUUGACAUCCUCUGACCCCUCUAGAGAUAGAGUUUUCCCCUUCGGGGGACAGAGUGACGGGGGGGGCAGGGUUGUCGUCAGCUCGUGUCGGGAGAUGUGGGGUUAAGCCCCGCAACGAGCGCAACCCUUAAGCUUAGUUGCCAUCAUUAAGGGGGGCACUCUAAGGUGAGGGCGGGAGACAAACGGGAGGAGGGGGGGGAAGACCUCAAAUCAUCGUGCCCCUUAUGAUUGGGGCUACACACGGGCUACAAGGGAAAAUAAAAGGGGGAGCGAACCCGCGAGGUCAAGAAAAUCCCAUAAAGGUGUUCUCAGUUGGGAUUGGAGUCUGCAACUCGACUAUAUGAAGGUGGAAUCGCUAGUAAUCGUAGAUCAGCGUGCUACGGAGAAUACGUUCCCGGCUUUUGCACACACCGC